AGGGUUAUAGUUAAAACAUAACAUUUGAUUUGCAUUCAAAAAUUAUUGAUUUAUUCAAUUUACCUUG
rnacentral:tRNA from 1 species